rnacentral:rRNA from 1 species
AGAGUUUGAUCAUGGCUCAGAUUGAACGCUGGCGGCAUGCCUUACACAUGCAAGUCGAACGGCAGCACGGGGGCAACCCUGGUGGCGAGUGGCGAACGGGUGAGUAAUAUAUCGGAACGUGCCCUAGAGUGGGGGAUAACGUAGCGAAAAGUUACGCUAAUACCGCAUACGAUCUACGGAUGAAAGUGGGGGGAUCGCAAGACCUCAUGCUCAUGGAGCGGCCGAUAUCUGAUUAGCUAGUUGGUAGGGUAAAAGCCUACCAAGGCAUCGAUCAGUAGCUGGUCUGAGAGGACGACCAGCCACACUGGGACUGAGACACGGCCCAGACUCCUACGGGAGGCAGCAGUGGGGAAUUUUGGACAAUGGGGGCAACCCUGAUCCAGCAAUGCCGCGUGAGUGAAGAAGGCCUUCGGGUUGUAAAGCUCUUUUGUCAGGGAAGAAACGGUGGGGGCUAAUAUCCUCUGCUAAUGACGGUACCUGAAGAAUAAGCACCGGCUAACUACGUGCCAGCAGCCGCGGUAAUACGUAGGGUGCAAGCGUUAAUCGGAAUUACUGGGCGUAAAGCGUGCGCAGGCGGUUUGGUAAGACAGAUGUGAAAUCCCCGGGCUUAACCUGGGAAUGGCAUUUGUGACUGCCCGGCUAGAGUGUGUCAGAGGGGGGUAGAAUUCCCGUGUAGCAGUGAAAUGCGUAGAGAUGUGGAGGAAUACCGAUGGCGAAGGCAGCCCCCUGGGAUAACACUGACGCUCAUGCACGAAAGCGUGGNNACAAACAGGAUUAGAUACCCUAGUAGUCC